AUGCCAGUGUGGAUAAUGAUAUAGAUUCCAUGAGGGAAUCUAUAAAUGAAUUGAUGAAUGGAUGGUGAAGCAACUCCCACUAUAAAGAACAUAUGCUGUAUAGAUACAUCUGAAGGAUACAUGUCUGAGUUUCAGAUCUCUUACCGUGAUACUCAACAAUGUACUGUACAACCUGGCCUGGUUUGGUGAUAUACCAUAUGGAGCGACCUUAGGCCCAGGCGGCAGAACUUUGGCGGCGCCGUUAGGACACCGCAGCCCAUUUACUAUGUAGUAGUUGCUCCCUUAGCGAGAUAGGUACCACACAACCUUAUCCUCCAAGAAACUUAACGUUAUGUGAUGAGAAGCUUGCUAGCGUUAGAGACUUGGUAGCGACAUAAAAUUAGACAUUUGCCACAAGGUACCCACAUCUAUUCAACU
rnacentral:sRNA from 1 species